rnacentral:rRNA from 1 species
UUAAGUUAUUAAGGGCGCACGGUGGAUGCCUUGGCACUAGAAGCCGAUGAAGGACGUUACUAACGACGAUAUGCUUUGGGGAGCUGUAAGUAAGCUUUGAUCCAGAGAUUUCCGAAUGGGGAAACCCAGCAUGAGUUAUGUCAUGUUAUCGAUAUGUGAAUACAUAGCAUAUCAGAAGGCACACCCGGAGAACUGAAACAUCUUAGUACCCGGAGGAAGAGAAAGAAAAUUCGAUUCCCUUAGUAGCGGCGAGCGAAANNNNNNNNNNNNNNNNNNNNNNNNNNNNNNNNNNNGGGAAGAGCCCAAACCAACAAGCUUGCUUGUUGGGGUUGUAGGACACUCUAUACGGAGUUACAAAGGACGACAUUAGACGAAUCAUCUGGAAAGAUGAAUCAAAGAAGGUAAUAAUCCUGUAGUCGAAAAUGUUGUCUCUCUUGAGUGGAUCCUGAGUACGACGGAGCACGUGAAAUUCCGUCGGAAUCUGGGAGGACCAUCUCCUAAGGCUAAAUACUCUCUAGUGACCGAUAGUGAACCAGUACCGUGAGGGAAAGGUGAAAAGCACCCCGGAAGGGGAGUGAAAUAGAACCUGAAACCGUGUGCUUACAAGUAGUCAGAGCCCGUUAAUGGGUGAUGGCGUGCCUUUUGUAGAAUGAACCGGCGAGUUACGAUUUGAUGCAAGGUUAAGCAGUAAAUGUGGAGCCGUAGCGAAAGCGAGUCUGAAUAGGGCGUUUAGUAUUUGGUCGUAGACCCGAAACCAGGUGAUCUACCCUUGGUCAGGUUGAAGUUCAGGUAACACUGAAUGGAGGACCGAACCGACUUACGUUGAAAAGUGAGCGGAUGAACUGAGGGUAGCGGAGAAAUUCCAAUCGAACCUGGAGAUAGCUGGUUCUCUCCGAAAUAGCUUUAGGGCUAGCCUCAAGUGAUGAUUAUUGGAGGUAGAGCACUGUUUGGACGAGGGGCCCCUCUCGGGUUACCGAAUUCAGACAAACUCCGAAUGCCAAUUAAUUUAACUUGGGAGUCAGAACAUGGGUGAUAAGGUCCGUGUUCGAAAGGGAAACAGCCCAGACCACCAGCUAAGGUCCCAAAAUAUAUGUUAAGUGGAAAAGGAUGUGGCGUUGCCCAGACAACUAGGAUGUUGGCUUAGAAGCAGCCAUCAUUUAAAGAGUGCGUAAUAGCUCACUAGUCGAGUGACACUGCGCCGAAAAUGUACCGGGGCUAAACAUAUUACCGAAGCUGUGGAUUGUCCUUUGGACAAUGGUAGGAGAGCGUUCUAAGGGCGUUGAAGCAUGAUCGUAAGGACAUGUGGAGCGCUUAGAAGUGAGAAUGCCGGUGUGAGUAGCGAAAGACGGGUGAGAAUCCCGUCCACCGAUUGACUAAGGUUUCCAGAGGAAGGCUCGUCCGCUCUGGGUUAGUCGGGUCCUAAGCUGAGGCCGACAGGCGUAGGCGAUGGAUAACAGGUUGAUAUUCCUGUACCACCUAUAAUCGUUUUAAUCGAUGGGGGGACGCAGUAGGAUAGGCGAAGCGUGCGAUUGGAUUGCACGUCUAAGCAGUAAGGCUGAGUAUUAGGCAAAUCCGGUACUCGUUAAGGCUGAGCUGUGAUGGGGAGAAGACAUUGUGUCUUCGAGUCGUUGAUUUCACACUGCCGAGAAAAGCCUCUAGAUAGAAAAUAGGUGCCCGUACCGCAAACCGACACAGGUAGUCAAGAUGAGAAUUCUAAGGUGAGCGAGCGAACUCUCGUUAAGGAACUCGGCAAAAUGACCCCGUAACUUCGGGAGAAGGGGUGCUCUUUAGGGUUAACGCCCAGAAGAGCCGCAGUGAAUAGGCCCAAGCGACUGUUUAUCAAAAACACAGGUCUCUGCUAAACCGUAAGGUGAUGUAUAGGGGCUGACGCCUGCCCGGUGCUGGAAGGUUAAGAGGAGUGGUUAGCUUCUGCGAAGCUACGAAUCGAAGCCCCAGUAAACGGCGGCCGUAACUAUAACGGUCCUAAGGUAGCGAAAUUCCUUGUCGGGUAAGUUCCGACCCGCACGAAAGGCGUAACGAUUUGGGCACUGUCUCAACGAGAGACUCGGUGAAAUCAUAGUACCUGUGAAGAUGCAGGUUACCCGCGACAGGACGGAAAGACCCCGUGGAGCUUUACUGUAGCCUGAUAUUGAAAUUCGGCACAGCUUGUACAGGAUAGGUAGGAGCCUUUGAAACGUGAGCGCUAGCUUACGUGGAGGCGCUGGUGGGAUACUACCCUAGCUGUGUUGGCUUUCUAACCCGCACCACUUAUCGUGGUGGGAGACAGUGUCAGGCGGGCAGUUUGACUGGGGCGGUCGCCUCCUAAAAGGUAACGGAGGCGCUCAAAGGUUCCCUCAGAAUGGUUGGAAAUCAUUCAUAGAGUGUAAAGGCAUAAGGGAGCUUGACUGCGAGACCUACAAGUCGAGCAGGGUCGAAAGACGGACUUAGUGAUCCGGUGGUUCCGCAUGGAAGGGCCAUCGCUCAACGGAUAAAAGCUACCCCGGGGAUAACAGGCUUAUCUCCCCCAAGAGUUCACAUCGACGGGGAGGUUUGGCACCUCGAUGUCGGCUCAUCGCAUCCUGGGGCUGUAGUCGGUCCCAAGGGUUGGGCUGUUCGCCCAUUAAAGCGGUACGCGAGCUGGGUUCAGAACGUCGUGAGACAGUUCGGUCCCUAUCCGUCGUGGGCGUAGGAAAUUUGAGAGGAGCUGUCCUUAGUACGAGAGGACCGGGAUGGACAUACCUCUGGUGUACCAGUUGUCGUGCCAACGGCAUAGCUGGGUAGCUAUGUGUGGACGGGAUAAGUGCUGAAAGCAUCUAAGCAUGAAGCCCCCCUCAAGAUGAGAUUUCCCAACUUCGGUUAUAAGAUCCCUCAAAGAUGAUGAGGUUAAUAGGUUCGAGGUGGAAGCAUGGUGACAUGUGGAGCUGACGAAUACUAAUCGAUCGAAGACUUAAUCAA